rnacentral:rRNA from 1 species
UACGUAGGGGGCAAGCGUUGUCCGGAUUUAUUGGGCGUAAAGAGCGUGUAGGCGGCCAUACAGGUCAGCUGUGAAAACUCGAGGCUCAACCUCGAGACGUCGGUUGAAACCGUAUGGCUAGAGUCCGGAAGAGGAGAGUGGAAUUCCCAGUGUAGAGGUGAAAUUCGUAGAUAUUGGGAAGAACACCGGUGGCGAAGGCGGCUAUCUGGACCGUAACUGACGCUGAGGCGCGAAAGCGUGGGGAGCAAACAGGG